GUUUCCGUAGUGUAGUGGUUAUCACGUCCGCUUUACACGCGGAAGGUCGCCGGUUCGAGCCCGGCCGGGAACA
rnacentral:tRNA from 1 species